rnacentral:piRNA from 1 species
ACUCUAGAAUAGGGAGUAAUUUGGGUAGC